CCUACGGGUGGCAGCGGUGGGGGAUAUUGCACAAUGGGGGAAACCCUGAUGCAGCGACGCCGCGUGUGGGAAGACGGUCCUCUGGAUUGUAAACCACUGUCCCCAGGGACGAAGAUGACGGUACCUGGGGAGGACGCUCCGGCUAACUACGUUCCAGCAGCCGCGGUAAUCCGUAGGGAGCGAGCGUUGUACGGAGUUACUGGGGGUAAGGGGAGCGUAGGGGGCGAUUAAAAUUGGGUUGAAAAACUACAGGCUAAACUGGUAGUCGCACUCAAAACUGCAGCUCUUGAGUGAAGGAGAGGCAGGCGGAAUGCCUAGUGUAGCGGUGAAGUGCGUAGAUAUUAGGAGGAACACCAGUGGCGAAGGCGGCUUGCUGGGCUGUUACUGACGCUGAGGCUCGAAAGUGUGGGGAGCAAACAGGAUUAGAUACCCCAGUAGUC
rnacentral:rRNA from 1 species